rnacentral:rRNA from 1 species
GAUGAACGCUGGCGGCGUGCCUAAUACAUGCAAGUCGAGCGAACGGACGAGAAGCUUGCUUCUCUGAUGUUAGCGGCGGACGGGUGAGUAACACGUGGAUAACCUACCUAUAAGACUGGGAUAACUUCAGGAAACCGUAGCUAAUACCGGAUAAUAUUUUGAACCGCAUGGUUCAAAAGUGAAAGACGGUCUUGCUGUCACUUAUAGAUGGAUCCGCGCUGCAUUAGCUAGUUGGUAAGGUAACGGCUUACCAAGGCAACGAUGCAUAGCCGGCCUGAGAGGGUGAUCGGCCACACUGGAACUGAGACACGGUCCAGACUCCUACGGGAGGCAGCAGUAGGGAAUCUUCCGCAAUGGGCGAAAGCCUGACGGAGCAACGCCGCGUGAGUGAUGAAGGUCUUCGGAUCGUAAAACUCUGUUAUUAGGGAAGAACAUAUGUGUAAGUAACUGUGCACAUCUUGACGGUACCUAAUCAGAAAGCCACGGCUAACUACGUG